rnacentral:rRNA from 1 species
AGUGAACGCUGGCGGUAGGCCUAACACAUGCAAGUCGAACAGCAGCACAGUAAGAGCUUGCUCUUACGGGUGGCGAGUGGCGGACGGGUGAGGAAUACAUCGGAAUCUACUUUUUCGUGGGGGAUAACGUAGGGAAACUUACGCUAAUACCGCAUACGACCUACGGGUGAAAGCAGGGGAUCUUCGGACCUUGCGCGAUUGAAUGAGCCGAUGUCGGAUUAGCUAGUUGGCGGGGUAAAGGCCCACCAAGGCGACGAUCCGUAGCUGGUCUGAGAGGAUGAUCAGCCACACUGGAACUGAGACACGGUCCAGACUCCUACGGGAGGCAGCAGUGGGGAAUAUUGGACAAUGGGCGCAAGCCUGAUCCAGCCAUACCGCGUGGGUGAAGAAGGCCUUCGGGUUGUAAAGCCCUUUUGUUGGGAAAGAAAAGCAGCAGGUUAAUACCCCGCUGUUCUGACGGUACCCAAAGAACAAGCACCGGCUAACUUCGUG